rnacentral:rRNA from 1 species
GACGGAGGAUGCAAGUGUUAUCCGGAAUCACUGGGCGUAAAGCGUCUGUAGGUAGUUUAAAAAGUCCACUGUUAAAGAUUGAAGCUUAACUUCAAAAAUGCCGUGGAAACUUUUAAACUUGAGUAUGAUAGGGGUAGAGGGAAUUUCCAGUGGAGCGGUGAAAUGCGUAGAUAUUGGAAAGACCACCAAUGGCGAAGGCACUCUACUGGGCCAUUACUGACACUGAGAGACGAAAGCUAGGGGAGCAAAUGGG